rnacentral:lncRNA from 1 species
CGCAGAGAACCUUGGGAAAUUUUAGGAAAUCUGUUAUAUCUUAAUGUAGAAAAAAGUCAAAUUUGAGUUUUGUUUAUUAUGUUUGAAACUAGAUUCAGAGUACUAUCAACCGCAAAAUUUCAGCAUUGUUCUCAAUUCCCAUGAAUAUCUGUGAUUUUUCACAAUUGACUGAACUUGCAUACUUGUUCUAUCUUUUACUUGAUGAAGCAGCAAAUUUAGGUUGGAAUUUGACUUACUUGUGGAUAGGAUGUGGCCCCACCUCCCCCUAAGGCGAACCAGAGGGUUCGGCGGACCGCCUGCCCAACUCUCGCCGGGACUCAGUCGAAUCUCAAUCAAAUCCAAAAUAAAACCACAAGAUCAAACAAAAUAACAAUCCAAAACUUAAAGCGAAACGUAUAUACAUUUCUAUUUCAAAAGGAAGUACAAUUAUCGAAUAUACAAAGGUUCUCAAUUCGUCAUUCAUCUAGCCCGUGCCAAACACUAGGGCGAGAACCAUUACAAAACAAAAAAACUAGACUAGGCUAACCUACACUGGGCUCUCGUCCUUGCUCGCAUCCCCCUGUUAAGGAAAACAAAACUAAAGGGGUGAGUUAAAAGCUCAGUGAGGUUCCGAACACAUAGGCAACAAGAAGUUCAAAGCAUUCAUUACAUAUAACCAAUAAUUUAAGAUACAAAUACAAAAUAAAGUGAUAAACACAUUCAUUAAAAGGAUACGGCUCACAGGAAGCUAUUCAUUCGUUCGUUCGUUCAUUCAUUCUCCUGUCAUUCCCCUUAUUCCUCCAAUCAUUUAAAAUGCAUUUUUGUAAGUAAAACCCUCGUUUGCAUUGACAUACGUUCGUUCAUUUUAUUCACCCCCUCCUGGACGUUGGCCAGGCUCCACCCGACAACAAGGUAAUACUCGAGUAUACCAAACGUUCACCCAGGGUCACUAAAUCGCCCGACCGAGUCCGUUUUUGGCUCGAGUCGAUCAGCAACGAAUGGCAAGGGCCCAGUUCAGCCAAACGGCAUACAUUCAUGCGCAACUAGCAUUUAAUCAUUUAAUCAUUGAAAAUUUCACAUUCAUUUAGGUCGAGUGCGAUAAAGUACACACUCGCCUAGAAAACUCAUUUUAAGCAAUCAUUGAAAGCACUUAACACAUUAUCAAACAGCAACAACAAGCCAUGAAAUCAAGAAAAAUAUAACAAACAAGGAACACUCACCUAGUUAAAUAAAAUAAUGUCCAAAGUAUCCUCUCGGAUAACACUCUCAAUCGCCAAGAAACCCUAAUAAUAGCCAAGAGAAAAUAUUAUAGUUAAACCCCUCCAAAGUUUAAGUGAACCAAAGAAAAUCUGAAUAACUACUAGUACAAAGUAUAAGUAUAGUUUUGGAAGUGAAAAGAGUACAUUUAAACCAAGGCUAUGAGUAAAAUUUUUGUAAAACUUAUGCUUGCUCGUAAAACUUUGAAAUCUCCAUUUAAGUCGAAGUGAUAAAGAAAACGUACUCUGAGCAGUCAUUAUUUUAUUUCUCAAGGGUAUAAGUUCGGCCAAAUCCUUACUUAUAUACAUCGGUAAAAGAAGAUGCAAAUAUCCUAGAUGGUUCAAGUGAUAUUCACUCUUAACCCUUACUCAAGUUGCAAGUAUAGUUUUCUAGUUCUCGAGCGUAAAUUUGGGCAGUAUGCCCUUUGUGUUUACCUAAUUUUUCAGCCAUUCUGGCUUCAUUAUUUUUUUCUCAUUUAAACCCAAAGGUACAUACACAACAAUCUAACUUCAAUAGCCAUCUAAUAGGCUCAAGACAAUACAAGGACAAAAAUCAACUAACAACAAGUGCAGAAAUCAAAUUUAACAAGAGACAGAUUUGAUAGAGUUUUGCGUAACGGACACAGCCGAAGCUACGCUUAUCGGAUUGGGGUGAAAAUUAUACUAUUUCGAAGCUAAGACAAAGUCCUACAACUUUCAUGAAGAUCACUUGGUCAAAUUUCUAGUUUAACCUAAUCAAAUUCCCAGUUCACAGAACCAGGUUCCAACUAAUCGGCUAAUUAACCGUACUACAUUUAAAUGGCCAUAUCUCAUGCUACCAAAGUCUCUUUAGGGCGUUCUUGGAGGCGUUGAAAAGCUAAGACAAAGACAUACAACUUCCAUGAAGACUACUCAGUCCAGUUCUCACCCUAACUAGGUCAAAUUUACCAAAACAAUUCCAGAUUUUCCAGUUCGAGAUUCACUGCAGAAAUCAACUAGCAGUCCUGCUUUAUUCACUCAUAUCUCAGCACACACAACUCCAAUUCAGGUAAUUCCAAAGCCAUUUGAAAGCUAAGAUACAAUUAUAUAAUUCUUAAGAAGACAUCAAUAACCAAUUCAGUAAUAUUCCUGGUCAAACUAACCAAUUACAGAAGCUGAUUAGCAUGUUCGGGUAGAAACAGGGCAGCAGGAGUAUUUUAGUCUAUUCACAAGCUACGUUACUCUGAUUGGGUUGCAAUUUUGUAGGAAACUAUAAAAUAUCAUUCUCUACAACUUUUAUGUUUUGAACUAAGGCUAAUUCGGCCUCUAUCAUGAUGAAACAAAAAUGGGCAGAAUGGUGUUUGUGAGAAUUUAAACCUGGAAUUAGAACUUUGUUGCUAGAAUUUCAUGUUUGUUAGGUUUAAAUUAUCAAGACCUCCAACUAGCAACUUCAUAACAUCAAUUAAAGGAUAUGUGAUCAUAAUCAAAGCUGAAAAUGAAACCCUAGCUAAUCAUCCCCCCAACUCCAACAAAACUCACUAAUUAACCGUUGUAACUCAAAAUUAAAAGCUUCUAGCCAUAUUUAACCAAAAUUGGGAAAAAGAAAAGGGUGAAAAGCCAUGAUACCUUCCUAGGAUGCUUGUAGGAGAAGACCACAACCUUUCCUUCAAAAUCUUGCCAUACAAAGCUCUAAUCUUCCCUAAAGAGUAGUUUUUGUGAAGUAAUUCACAAGAUUUAUGAUUGGAGUUUAAGAUUAAGCAAGAAAUUUAGUUGGUGAAGAUGAAGUUUCUCUCCCUUUUUUCUCUCUCUAUUUUCGGCCAAGGUAGUGAAGAAAUGGAGAAGAUUUGGUUAAAUUCUUGUUUUAUGAUGGUUGAUACAAAUUAGUCAAAGCUCCUUCCAAUAAGGGCUUGACAUGUGUCCUUUCUAGAGUUUUCUUUCUUCUUCCUUUGGCCCACCAUAGUGACUCAUGUAUAAGAUAUUUUAAGGCUAAUUAGUCAAAAUAAAAUGAGGAGAUUAAAGAAAUAAAGUAGGGUUUAAUCGGUGUACUCACUCGGUAACGAACGGUACACGUCAAUUCUAUCCAUUUUCCUUAAAUUACACGUACUAGGGUUUUUACUUCCUAUUCACUAACUUUAUAUCAUAGUUUCUAAUCACAUAUUAUUUCUCACCUAAAAGUCACUCUUAAACACCAAAUUUGAUCCUUACUCCAAAUUUGAUCCUUACACUGCGGAUACACGAAAAACCCUAUUUCACUUUGAUUUGAAGUCGGAAAGGAAAAUCCUAAUUUCCUAUGAUCAUUGGCAUUUUUUUUUCUAGGGUGAUUGAGUAGUAAGAUGGUAUAGAAUAAUAUUUUCUAAAUAAUUUUCAAAUAAAAGGAAAUUUUCAAGAAAUAUAUAAGGAAUUUGCAAGUUCUCACACUCUCUCCCCCUUAAGAAAUUUCGUUCUCGAAAUUUUUACCUUCAGAUAGCUCAGGAGCUUGUUGGUUGUCUAAGGCGUAUACCCUUGCCGGUACUUUUGUUCGGUUCCCUUUUUCAUUCGCUGAUUUUGGUUUAGCACCCUCCAGUUGUUGAGUACUCCCUCCGUCCCAAAAUUUGGGACGCUUUUUGGGAAACCAACUUUUUAUGUACAGUAACAUAAUGGGACACACUUAUCUGAUUAUUCCAAUCGUGCCCUUUGUUGUCCGUGGAGUAAAAUAACAAGCUGUUGGGUGUUGGGGACCACUUGCCAUUAAGACAUUUGACUAAAAGGCAAAGACAAGUUAAAGUAAAGCAAACAUCCGUUUCCAACUCUAGCUAUUCCUCUGUAUACUUGGGUUUCAUAAAAUCAACAAGAUCAGUUACAGAAGAUUGACAAUGGAAAAAGGUAAGAUUUCUACAAUUCCGUCUAUCACUUUGUUGGUGCUUUUUUUUUUAUUUUCAUUUUGUUUUAUGAUCUUUUGAUCAAUUUGAAGUAGAUAAUCUUAAGACUUAGCAUAAUUUAGCUAAUCUUUUAUUUGGCGCCAUUUGUUGUUUUUCCCUUUUUUUCUUGAAAUUUGGCGGUUCAUUGAAAAUUUGUAGAUGCAUUUUUUUAAGCUUUUUGUUUCUCACGUUUCUUAUAAAUAGAUUUUGGAAGCUGAUAAUUCUGAUGCCUUUAUUCUCUAUAUAAUGAGAUUAUAGAGAGAUUCGUCUUUUGUACAAAUUCUGUUUGAUAAUAUUCCACAGUGAACAUGGAUAAUCAUACUAGUUUUCAAAAUUAUGAAAGCUCUAGGAAAAAGUUGACAAAUCAGCAAAGGCAAGCCAUAUUUGAAGCAUUAUUGCAAUAUAGUUAUGGUGGGCAACUAGAAAGAGGAUUAACCAAAGUUAUUGCAACACAGUUCAAAAUCAGCACGAGGACAGUACAAAGAAUUUGGGAAAGAGCAAAGUCUUCAAUCAGUAAUGGAGGCUCGGUUGACAUCUCUCGCAGGUUUCCUAAGAGGGCAGGAUGCAAAAGGGUAGAGAUAGACUUCAGCACUAUCAUGGAAAUACCUCUACGGUGUCGAACAAAUAUUCAUUCUCUAUCAACCAAAAUGAAAGUUGCCAAGUCCACUCUUCAUCGACGAAUAAAAGAAGGUGUUAUCAAAGCACAUUCAAAUGCAUUAAAGCCUCACCUUACUGAUGACAAUAAAUUGGUAAGACUCAAAUUUUGUUUGUCAAUGCUUCAACAAGAGAGUCUUAAUGAUGCACCUGUUUUCGAAAACAUGUUCAAUAUGGUUCAUAUCGAUGAAAAGUGGUUCUACAUGACUAAGGAGUCUGAGAAAUACUACCUACAUCCUGAAGAAGAACACCCUAUGAGGACUUGUAGGAGUAAAAAGUUUAUUGUUAAGGUUAUGUUUCUAGCUGCAGUUGCUCGACCUCGCUUUGAUUGUUCUAGAAACAAGCACUUUGAUGGGAAAAUUGGAAUAUUUCCUUUUGCCUUCAAAGAACCAGCUAAAAGGAAUAGCAAAAAUCGUGUUGCUGGUACUCUAGAAACAAAGCCUAUCCUAUCAGUGACCAAGGAAGUGUAUAGAAGGUGCUUAAUUGAUAAUGUUUUGCCUGCAAUUCGUGCUAAAUGGCCACAAAGUAAUGUUAUCAGCCCUAUCUUCAUCCAACAAGAUAAUGCAAAACCACAUAUUGAUCCAAUGGAUGUUGAGUUCAUAGAAGCUGCCACAAGAGAAGGUUUUGAUAUUCGUUUAUCAUUUCAACCACCUAAUAGCCCUGAUAUGAAUGUUCUUGAUCUUGGGUAUUUUAGAGCCAUUCAAUCACUCCAGCAUCAAGAAGCACCUAACUCUAUUGACGAACUAAUUUCUGCUGUUGAAAAGUCUUUCGAUGAAUUAUCAUCUGAAAGUCUCAACAAUGUGUUCUUAACCUUACAACUAUGUAUGCUUGAGGUAAUGAAGAAUUGUGGAGGGAAUAAUUACAAAGUUCCACAUAUUGGGAAGCAACGGUUGAUAAGAGAUGGAAAUCUUCCUUUGCAAAUUGGAUGUGAUAAGGAGCUUAUUGACAAAAUCAUCCAUUAUCUACAAGCAUGAAUGUACUGGUAUUGGUUAGAAUUUCCAUAUUAUUUAAACUUUGCUAACUUCUAAAUUAUGAUAAAGGUAGUGAUAAUGCUAUCUAACUUAUGAUUGAUUUCUUUUUCUCUAUUUUGUUCUGAAGGUAUAUCAAGUCAUGGAUCAAGUUUCUGGACUUGGAUUAUGCUAACGCUUUUUGUGCAGAACAAGGGACUUGACUUUUGCUAUUAAUGCUUUUGUACAAAACAACGGACUUGUCUUUUGCUAGACUUUUGCUACUAAUGCUUUUGUACAAAACAGGGGACUUGACUUUUGCUAGACUUUUGGUACUAAUGCUUUUGUACGACUUGGCUUUUGCUAGACUUUGCUACUAAUGCUUUUGUGCAAAACAGGGGGCUUGACUUUUGGUCCUAAGUUAUUUUUGAGGGUUGCUUAUAAGAUUUGGUUGUCACUCAAAUCUAUUUUAGGGGCAUAGAUUUUGUAUUUUGUUGAUUUGUAUAGACAACCAUGAACUCUUGGAAGCAAUGAGCAGUAAAUGUUAUUUUAGUCUUGGUGCUUUCAAAUUAAUGCCUUGCUUGGAUGUUUAGGAUUUCAACGUAAUACGCACUAGUUGAUCAUUUUAUUUUUUCUUUGAUAUUUUUUUCACUCUAUUUAUUUGUUAGUUUGAUACUAGAGGCAAAUUUAAGAGCAAGAACACAAGUUAUAGGACAAAUUUUACCUUUUCUUUUUUCACCUUUACAUUAAAAAAAUUAAAUAGUGAUAAACAAAAGGGUAAGGAAUGCAUCUAGCAUUCUUUAUUUGUUUAUCCAAAAAAAAAACUUGAUUUGUAUUAUUGUAAGAAAUUUGUUCUUUUGUUAAAAAAAAAAAGAUAGAAAGACAAGAAACGAAACUUUCAUUGCAUCUGCAAACACUUGUGUAGCUUGAAAAGAGUAAAGAAAAGAAAAAAAUGAAAAACAAGGAAAAAAAAGAAAAAAGGAAAAAAAAAACAAAGAUUUGAAGUGCAAGAAAAGAAAUGGAAAUGAAAAACACAAAAAAAAAAAGCAAGGAAAAAGAAGAAAAAAGAAAAACAAA